AUUGAACGCUGGCGGCAUGCUUUACACAUGCAAGUCGAACGGCAACGGGCAGCAUCUUGCUUCUCUGCCGGCGACUGGCGGGUGAGUGAGUAGUACGUCGCCACGCGUCGAGUAUAGGUGCACAACAACCCACCAGGUAGGCUAAUACAUCAUAGCUUCUGAGGCAGAAAGCUGGGGGCCUAGUGAUAGCGCUUGCGCUUUUUCACGGGCCGAUGUCGGAUUAGGUAGUUGGUGAGGUAAAGGCCCACCAAGGCGAAGAUCUGUAGCGGGUCUGAGAGGAUGAUCAGCCACACUGGGACUGAGACACGGCCCAGACUCCUACGGGAGGCAGCAGUGGGGAAUUUUGGACAAAGGGGGCAAGCCUGAUCCAGCAAUGCCGCGUGCAGGAAGAAGGCCUUAGGGUUGUAAAGUACUUUUGUUAGGGAAGAAAAGGCAGUUGUUAAUAACGGCGGAUAAUGACGGUACCGAAAGAAUAAGCACCGGCUAACUACGUG
rnacentral:rRNA from 1 species